GUUGACCUCGGAUCAGGUAGGACUUACCCGCUGAACUAAGCAGGGAAUGCUGCUCAAAAUGGGAGGUAUAUGUCUUCUAAAGCUAAAUCCCGGCCCAGAGACCGAUAGCGCACAAGUAGAGCGAUCGAAAGAUGAAAAGCACUUUGAAAAGAGGGUUAAACAAGUACGUGAAAUUGUUGAAAGGGGAAGCGCUCGCGACCAGACUUUCCGGGCCCGGCGGAUCAUCCGGCGUUCCUCGCCGGUGCACUCCGCCGGCGCCCGGGCCCAGCAUCGGCUCGCUGCGGGGGAUAAAGGCGGCGGGAAACGUGGCCCCUCCGCGGGUGUUUAUAGCCCGCCGCGCAAUGCCCCGCGCCGGGCCGAGGAACCGCGCCCUAGGCAAGGAUGCUGGCGUAAUGGUCGCUAGCGACCCCGUCUUGAAACACGGACCAAGGAGUCGUCUUCGUAUGCGAGUGUUCGGGUGUCAAACCCCUGCGCGCAAUGAAAGUGAACGCGGGUGAGAGCCCUCGCGGGCGCAUCACCGACCGAUCCUGAAUGUACUCGGAUGGAUUUGAGCAAGAGCAUACGGGGCCGGACCCGAAAGAAGGUGAACUAUGCCUGUGUAGGGUGAAGCCAGAGGAAACUCUGGUGGAGGCUCGCAGCGGUUCUGACGUGCAAAUCGAUCGUCAAACAUGGGCAUGGGGGCGAAAGACUAAUCGAACCUUCUAGUAGC
rnacentral:rRNA from 1 species